UCACCUAAACUGGAAGGAACAUUAUGACCUAAAACAAGGUAGAAAGAUCCAUUGUCUCUUGUCCAUUAUCUAUCUCUGGUUAAAAGACUAAUCUGUGUCACUUCAAAAUGGCAGUCUUGAUUCUUCAGCAUAAAAACCACUUAAGAAGGUGCCAAUGCUUUCCUUUGUCCUAAAAGAGUGCAGAGAAUCCCCUGCUGUGUUUCAAAUGUGUGAGAGCUAAAAGUACAAAAUGUACAAAAAUAACGAAGUUGUAUUUUCUUAUUGAGGAUACCCUUCCCAGAAGGAUUAAAACAUUAACAAUUAUAAAAAUCCAAUUAUUUUCACUCUAUAGGUCCUACCUUUUUCAGGUCUACAUAAACUAGUAAGCCCUUAAAAACCUUCAUAGGCACUCAGAUAUCCAAUGAGAGAGACUGCUGGAAAAACAGUCUUGGCAGUUGUACCUCUGUUUCCCUAAAUACUACCUAAAUAUCUUAAUUCCUAUGGGUUUUCACUUCCAGAUUCCACCUAUGCAGGGCUCCAUGGCAGUUUCCAUUAAUCUUCAAAUCUUCAGUCUAUGAAAGCACAGAUUCCUGAAAGGAUGGCCUUAAAUGACCAGGAGUGGGAGCAGUCUGUAUCCCUGCUCCUGAAUAACAACCUAACUGGACUCUCUACUACCUAUCAGCACAGAUACACCUCCAACUACCCAGCUGAACUUCAAGACUGAUUUGACAGCCAAUGAUGCCGCUGACCCAGUCUGCAUGGCUAUGCGAAGGACACCAGUGAAUUGGGAAAAGAGGCAAGAGGUCCAGGUAAAGGCUCUGACAGUUUCUGAAGGACACACUGCUGAGUGUCUCUGUCACCGAGGGCUGGAAUGUAGUCGCGUGAUUAUGGCUUACUGCAAUCUCAACCUCCCGACCUCAAGCAGUCUUCCCAUCUCAACUUCCUGAGUAGCUGAAACUACAGCUGUGUACCAUCAUGCUAGGCUACUUUUUUAUUGUUAUUUUUGUAGAGACAAGGUCUCACUAUAUUGCCCAGGCUGGCCUCAAAUUCCUGGUGUUGUGGGGUUUUUUGUUUGUUUUGUUUUU